rnacentral:rRNA from 1 species
UACGGAGGGUGCAAGCGUUGCUCGGAAUUAUUGGCGUAAAGGGUAGGUAGGUGGUCUCAGUUUGUCUGGGUGAAAGCCUUGAGCUAAACUCAAGAAGUGCCCUAGAAACGGUGAGACUGGAGUCUUGGAGAGGUCGUGGAAUCCCGGUGUAGCGGUGAAAUGCGUAGAUAUCGAGAGGAACACAGUGGCGAAGGCGAGUCCCUGGACGAACUCCUGACACUGAGGCACGAAAGCUAGGGGAGCAAACAGG